rnacentral:rRNA from 1 species
GACAGAGGGUGCAAACGUUGUUCGGAAUUACUGGGCGUAAAGCGCGUGUAGGCGGCUAUGCAAGUCGGAUGUGAAAUCCCCGGGCUCAACUCGGGAAGUGCACUUAAAACUACAAGACUUGAGUAAGGAAGAGGGUCGUGGAAUUCCAGGUGUAGUGGUGAAAUACGUAGAUAUCUGGAGGAACACCGGUGGCGAAGGCGGCGACCUGGUCCUAUACUGACACUCAUACACGAAAGCGUGGGGAUCAAACAGG